GGGGAUUUAGCUCAGUGGUAGAGCGCCUGCCUAGCAAGCACAAGGCCCUGGGUUCGGUCCUCAGCUCUG
rnacentral:tRNA from 1 species